ensembl:rRNA 5S_rRNA 5S ribosomal RNA
UUCUACUGCCAUACCCUCCUCACUCUGGAAGCUAAGCAAGGUCUGCCCGGCAAGGACUUGGAUGAGAGACUACCUGGGAAUACUUCAAGCAGUGAAAG